rnacentral:rRNA from 1 species
AUUGAACGCUGGCGGCAGGCCUAACACAUGCAAGUCGAGCGGAUGAAGGGAGCUUGCUCCUGGAUUCAGCGGCGGACGGGUGAGUAAUGCCUAGGAAUCUGCCUGGUAGUGGGGGAUAACGUCCGGAAACGGGCGCUAAUACCGCAUACGUCCUGAGGGAGAAAGUGGGGGAUCUUCGGACCUCACGCUAUCAGAUGAGCCUAGGUCGGAUUAGCUAGUUGGUGGGGUAAAGGCCUACCAAGGCGACGAUCCGUAACUGGUCUGAGAGGAUGAUCAGUCACACUGGAACUGAGACACGGUCCUGACUCCUACGGGAGGCAGCAGUGGGGAAUAUUGGGCAAUGGGCGAAAGCCUGAUCCAGCCAUGCCGCGUGUGUGAAGAAGGUCUUCGGAUUGUAAAGCACUUUAAGUUGGGAGGAAGGGCAGUAAGUUAAUACCUUGCUGUUUUGACGUUACCAACAGAAUAAGCACCGGCUAACUUCGUG